GAGGUUGAAGUCUACUCUCAGGUGGCCAAGCUGUUCCAGAACCAGGAGGAUGAUCUGGAAGAGUUUGGUCAAUUCCUGCCAGACGCCAAUGGGUCAUCUUUUGGAGGAUAUAUGAACAUGCUGCAAACUGACAGGUCAUCCCUGGGGGUCAGAAAUGAUCACUCCUCCACUGUGAAGAAACCAUCCCUAGGCAACAAAUAUCAGAUGGGGAAGAGCGGAAAUCAACACAGACGACCCUCAGGUGUCCCAUAGCCACCAGAG